rnacentral:rRNA from 1 species
UGUGAACUGCAGGACACAUGAACACCGAUAAGUUGAACGCAUAUUGCGCGUCGGACGAUUAAACCCGGCCGAUGCACACAUUCUUGAGUGCCUAU